CCUACGGGAGGCAGCAGUAAGGAAUAUUGGUCAAUGGACGCAAGUCUGAACCAGCCAUGCCGCGUGAAGGAUGAAGGUCCUCUGGAUUGUAAACUUCUUUUAUCUGGGACGAAACCCAUCUUUUCUAAGGUGAUUGACGGUACCAGAGGAAUAAGCACCGGCUAACUCCGUGCCAGCAGCCGCGGUAAUACGGAGGGUGCAAGCGUUAUCCGGAUUCACUGGGUUUAAAGGGUGCGUAGGUGGGUUGCCAAGUCCGUGGUGAAAUCUCCGAGCUUAACUCGGAAACUGCCAUGGAUACUGGUAGUCUUGAAUUAUCUGGAGGUCAGCGGAAUAUGUCAUGUAGCGGUGAAAUGCUUAGAUAUGACAUAGAACACCAAUUGCGAAGGCAGCUGACUACGGGUAUAUUGACACUGAGGCACGAAAGCGUGGGGUAGUACAACAGAUAGUAUACCUACGUAGUACACGACCUAACCUA
rnacentral:rRNA from 1 species